AGGGAAUCUUCCGCAAUGGACGAAAGUCUGACGGAGCAACGCCGCGUGAGUGAUGAAGGUUUUCGGAUCGUAAAACUCUGUUGUUAGGGAAGAACAAGUACCGUUCGAAUAGGGCGGCACCUUGACGGUACCUAACCAGAAAGCGACGGCUAACUACGUGCCAGCAGCCGCGGUAAUACGUAGGUGGCAAGCGUUGUCCGGAAUUAUUGGGCGUAAAGCGCGCGCAGGCGGUUUCUUAAGUCUGAUGUGAAAGCCCCCGGCUCAACCGGGGAGGGUCAUUGGAAACUGGGGAACUUGAGUGCAGAAGAGGAGAGUGGAAUUCCACGUGUAGCGGUGAAAUGCGUAGAGAUGUGGAGGAACACCAGUGGCGAGGGCGGCUCUCUGGUCUGUAACUGACGCUGAGGCGCGAAAGCGUGGGGAGCAAAC
rnacentral:rRNA from 1 species